rnacentral:lncRNA from 1 species
AGCAAAAAAGUGUAGCAUCAGGCUCCAAAGCAUAUGUUCAGUUGAAAGUAUUACCUCAAGGGUGUGUCUCUCAAAUGUACAGUUGGGUCCAGCCUUUCCUGAUGGACAUGCAAACACUUGCCCUCUAAUGGAGUAGCAUAUAUGUGUCUUAUUGUCUUGAAUUUUUCCAAGAUUAGUAGGUAUGAUGUAGAAAAACCACCGCCCAAGCUUUGGUGAGUUAAUUACUAAAGGAGCUUUUUCCAAGUCAACGGAAUAAUCGUGCAACGCCACCAAAGGCAUUGCACCAUUCCGAGCAUAACACAUUAACGAUAUAUGACUGGCAUCGUCAUUUGAGUUAGCACUGAUAUUUUGAGCCAAUAUAGACAAUUCUUCGGCUAAAUCCAUCACACCUAAUGAAAACACUUUUUGUUCACCCACUCCAUGGCAAGAAAUCCCAAAGUCGUCACAGGAAAUUGCACUUUGAGUUUUAUUGAUGCCCGCAUUCAAAAGGCUAUAGUUGUUAGACAAAGAACAAGAAAGUGGAUUGAUCGUCUGAUUACAGUAUUGACCCCACAUUGUCGUAGUUAUGCACCCAUCAACGCUGAUGUUGGCACUAAAGGAGUAAUUUUGUCUGCGUACAAUCUAUAAAGUCAAAAGGAUCUCAUCAGCUAUUAAAUAGGUUAACUUAGAGGAAAUUACAGGAAUUAUAGCCCAUUAGUCCAGUGAAUGGAAAGAAGAAUCAGAAAGAAAAUAUAUUAAUACAUGUGCAGAGGUAUCAACUAUGUUGACAUAACAACACAAGAUGAAUCCUACAGUUCUUGUGGAACAAUCUUGUUGGAUUCCCAAAUUUUACGCACAUUCUAAGACAAUUGUCAAACUUUUCCUUCAAAAUUAUUAAUUUGGUGAUUUUAGCUAUGGUCAGUGUGUUUAGCCAUGCCAGAUACAGCAGGCUUGUAUAUCUCAUCUUCAAAACACCAGACCAACAGCAAUGUAUCAUUUGAUGUUUAACUUCAUAAUUGCAGGGUUAUUUCCAUUGGAAUAAUUCAUUGGUCCUCUUAACCAUCCAGUACUAUAAUUCUACUGAAUUGCAUCUAUCCCCCUAAGCAAUUUGAAUACGAUAACAGUAGCACAUUCAAAAGACAUAAAUAAACAUAGAUAAGCACAGAUAAUGCCCAGCUAUUUGCAUUUACUCGUUAAUUUAGAUAAAAUAUACCAUUUUGGAUUGUGCCCUGGUUGCCCCAAUCCCAUUGAAUGCGCCUAGAUACCAGACUCCAGGAGACACCUGAGAACAAACCCAUAAGCUUACUUCUGUCAACUGUUAUUACACAAAAGCACUCUGCGACAUUAAGAAACUAGAUAACCACUUGCAUAACAACAAGUAGCAAGAUAAGAAAUAAAAGAAAAAACUUGCUUCAAUGAAGUAGUGAUAAGCUAUUAGCCAUCUUCCAGUAGAAAAACUGAUGUGUUAACUUGAAAAUUCAAAAUUGGCAUUUGACACCACUGGAAAGUAUACCAAACCUGCUCAUUUGUCACCCUCACAGUCAGGUUUUUCUGCAUUGGGAAGCAGUCCACAUUCUGAGAGCCUUGAAUACUUUCAAAUGCUGCAUUAGAGAGAGGACCUUAUAGCACAAAACAAGAUCUAAUUCAGCCUUCCAUUAAAUACGAGAAACCAGGGAACUAAACUCAAAUCAGUUGGGUGAGGAAGCAGAUAGAGAAAGUUGCUACCAAGGUAACUUGGCAGAUUUAAUUAGCAAAGAAUUAAGGUCAAAUUUAAAUAGGUUCAAGAGUAGAACUGAAAGUGCAAUUUAUACCUCACUUGAUUGUAUGACGGAACUGUUUAAGACAUCAGGGAGAGGGGGACUGCCGUCUCUCAGACAAAUAAUCAGACUAGAUGCCUUGCUCCCUGCACCCUAUAAAAAUAGGAAUUAUGAACUGUAAUCAGCAUAAAUAUAAAGUGUGGAGGUUUGUUACAAUUCUGUCAGACUGAUGAAACAGUUGAGAGCAUAUCUGCAUACAAAGUCAUUUUUUUCUACCAAGAUAUUAACAUUACAUUAGCAUCAAUGUGCUAGGAGGGAAUGACAUAAUAAUAACUAACUCGAUUGGCCAUCAGAAUAUGCCACUGUGUUCCGUACCUAGAAAUGAUUAAUUUUUCAAAUAACACUUACAGCUUGCACAUCUGAGUCCAGUGCAAUGGAAAUAGAAGAGAACCAUGGUGGCAAUUCAACUGGUACAAUGCAGAAUAACAAAAUGUAAGUCAAGAAACUAUAAGCAGUGACACAUAAGAAGCAUCUUAAAUUAGUAGUAGCAACCUAGUCCUUGCUCAGACAAUAAUGAGAGAGGGGUCAGUACUUGUCAUCGUAGAAGAUAUACCAGAACAAAGGUUAACUCCCUCAUUAACAAAUAACAUUAUGUAUAAUAUUUAUAAUGAUCAUUCAAUAACAUCAAAUAUAAAACAAUGGCAUAUAAAACUAUGAUUUAUCCUUCCAGAAUCCAGAGAAAGAGUACUUUAUACCCAUGAAAGGUUGGUACCUAGCAACUCGCGAUCACCCUCUAACAACCAAAACAGGUCCAAACAGACGCACAAGAGAAGCUAAAGGAUUUUGAUCGCAACCCAAAUAACGAUAGCCGCCCAAAAACCCCACAAAACCCCAACUUGGAGCUCAAUCAGCGAAAAUGUUAAUCUGGGUUGUUCUUGUUUGCAAUAUUCUUCGAAAUUACGAUUUAGAGAGACAGAUUAAGGUAAGCAAGAGCCAGCAAUAGCAAGACGUACCCCUGAUAUAACGCAAGUCAUAAGGUUUGACCAGAGUCUGAGGGUAUCUGAAGCUGGAAACAGUAGAAGUAUCGGAGAAAGGCAGUUGCUAGCUGUUUAUUGUAGAAGAAAGUAGCAGGAGCAGCAGACAUCUGCUUAGUAGAAUUGUCCGACAGCUGAGAAUCGAAUUCCCAGCCAUUGAAACUCCUUUUCUGAAAGCUGCAGGGGAGGGAGGGAGGGAUGAAAAUGAUUGAUUGGUGUCUAUUCUGAUUCUGAAUAUGUAGAAAGAACGUUGAUGGUGGUGACUGGGUAAAUUGAAUUCACGCCUCACAUUUCACACCAACUCAACUCUCCAAACAAACAAAUUUAAAAACCAACAUUUCCUUUUAUUUUACCUCGUUUAACCUCGCUGAUAGCGUGAAUAAGCAUGGAUGGCCAGUUGAAGUUUCCUCAAGUACGGUAGAGGAGGUUGUGUUCUUGUUUCAAUAUUGUUAGAAUAUGAUUUUCUCUCCUCAACACAGAGGGCAAAAUCAUUUUUAAAAGUUGGUUGUAUACAUAUACAUUUGUAAUAAUGAUGGUAUUAUUUCUCUCACCUUAACUCACCUAAACAAGUUAGGAAAAUAGAUCACACAUUUUUUAGGACAUUCUUUAGGAGUCCACACGAGUCAUUCAUACAUUGAUGCAACAUUCACGGUUUUUUUACAGAGAAAACAUCAUUUUAUUGAUACAUGAGGUGUCUAAAUAGGAGGUGCAAUCCUCAUCAACAAGGCUAACAUGAAUCGUGGGUCCUUAUAAAAACAAGUGACCUCAAUUUUUUCUCUCCAACAAACAAACACCCUAAACGAAAAGACCCUCCGGAAACAAGUUUAAGGAUAACCUAGGACCACAAACAAUCAACAAAAGAAAAUAGUUCUAAACAACCAAAUUGACAACUACCACUACUGAAAUCAAAGAAACCUAGCGUUGGGUGUGCACACAUCCUGAUUGGAACCACGGUUAGGACCUUAGCUGUCUUAUACUAUCUUAUCAGUGCGAUGGACCGGUCCCCAUCUGUUGAGCUGCUGAUGGUGAAGAGGCAGAUCCCGGAUUGAGCUUCUUUGUUGAGUUCGUGGCCUGAUGCCAUGUGACGGUGGCAGCACGUUCGAUCUGCGGGGUCGGGGCGGGUGUUGCGGUCAGUGUCGUUCCUCCAACGACGGGAGUGGUAUCGGAAGGAAAGGUACAAGGACAGGUGUCGGAGGUUCCGCGAUUGCUCGAUUCUGACUGACAGUGGUGGGGAGACGAGUGUGGUGCUGGGGGAGACGAUGGUCUUGGUGGUGGUAACGGUGAUGGGGUUUCAGGAGGUAGGGUGCGGCUGCAAUAUCAUGUUGGCGGCGAUUAGGGUUACGCUCUCAUGCGAGAGAUAUCUUAGGCAGUUAGACAGUCACGGUAUUAUAAUAACAUUUGAUAUUAAAUGAAUUAGGAUUUCAUUUUUCAUUUUAAAAUGAAUUAUUGUGUAGAAUUCAUUGUAAAAAAUGAUGAUUUAUAUAACUAUACCAAAACCUCCAAAUAAGAUCGAGGAAAAAAAACCUCCAAAUGAUGAUUUCAACAUUCA